rnacentral:rRNA from 1 species
UACGUAGGGCGCAAGCGUUGUCCGGAAUUAUUGGGCGUAAAGAGCUCGUAGGCGGCUUGUCACGUCGGGUGUGAAAGCCCCGGGGCUUAACCCCGGGUCUGCAUUCGAUACGGGCAGGCUAGAGUGUGGUAGGGGAGAUCGGAAUUCCUGGUGUAGCGGUGAAAUGCGCAGAUAUCAGAAGGAACACCGGUGGCGAAGGCGGGUCUCUGGGCCGAUACUGACGCUGAGGAGCGAAAGCGUGGGGAGCGAACAGG